UGAAUUCUGUUUUUGUUUUCGUGUUUUCGCCAGUACAGGAGGGCUGAGUCUUGACUUUGUCCCUGCAUUUUUGUGAGAUUUUGAAUCAGGUUCCUUCUGGCAGUGGUAGGUCUUAGUUUCACUAUCUGUAAAACCAAGAAUAAGUCUCUUUCCCCCUUACAUUCUCUGUCUACUCUUCCUUUGAUCUUCUGGAUUCAGGAAGCACUUCUGCCAGGGCCAGGAGAGGAUAGGAUUGGGAAGAGAGCCUUCCCUCUGUUUUACAGCCGAAACUGAGGCCCAGCAGCAUGGGCGUCCAUCGCUUAAGAGCUCACUAGAAAUGCAGAAUCUCCGGACCAAUGGCCUACCCUACCCUAUCUUUCAACAAGCCUUUCAAAUGAUUCAUAUGUCCUAUGCAAAGGGGCAGAACUUUCUAAAACUAAGGGGAAAAUGUUUUAUGUUAUAGGAGACCCAGAAAUACCUUCUAGCAGCCUAAAUCCUGAUCAGCACCACAGCGCGACCUUGUGGCUCUGGCUUCAGGGGAAAGAGGGCUGGGUUGCAAGGGGACAAGGCUGGGAUGGAGCACAUCACCUCCUCCCUGGCAUGUACUGCAUCUUGGAAUCAUGGCCUUAGAAUGCAUCUUACCUCGUGUUUCGAGCUCUACAGAAACAGCACAGGAUGUGUUUCCUGGUCAAUGUGAUGUCCAGAGAAGUCUGCUGGGGCCUUCUGGGAACCAUUUAUUUGUUCUUAAGAGAGCCACAGCCCUUUUAUAUCUCUGGUUGUUCAAGUGUGAUACCCACAAGUAUGGACACAGAGGGUCCAGACUAAGAGAACACAUCAGCCUGCUGAGGAUGGCAAAACAGAAAAGUGGCAAGGCAUGGAGUCCCAAGAAGAAAGGAAUGCCAAAAGAACCAAUCCUAGAACCAUUCAUCCUACUUGUUGGUGCCUGUUAGAAAUAACAAGUGGCCUUCAAGUUUAAGGCUUUGUCUUGAGUCUUCUGUGACUUGCAGCCAAAUGUAUACUAAUUGACGUAGAAGGUGAUCCUUAGAGACAGGGAAACUGCCUCUAUCAAAUAAAUCAGAUUCAUUCCCUUUGAUAACUUCCUCUCCUUUCUUAUCAAUAAAUGUGUUGUCAACAGGUUAGCUAGUCUUACACCUUGUUUCUUGGAGAAAACAGGGAAGCUAACUUUCCAGAGUUCAGGGUGGUAUGGCUGUAGAUGGAAGUUAACUUUCCAGAGUGAGUUACUGUUGGAGACCCCAGGCCAGAAUCCUUCCCUGGCUUUAGAAGUGGCUACAGCAAGAUGAAUCAGAAGGCUGAGGAAAUUCCCUCCCUGGGUGAAAGUGGAGAAUUGCAUGUUAGUGGUGACUGGAGCUCUACAGAGUCCUCUCUUUUGGAGCUUUGAACCGGGUGGCC
rnacentral:lncRNA from 1 species